rnacentral:rRNA from 1 species
UACGUAGGGGGCGAGCGUUGUCCGGAUUUAUUGGGCGUAAAGAGCUCGUCGGCGGUUCGGUAAGUCGGAUGUGAAAUCUCCACGCUCAACGUGGAGGGGCCAUUCGAUACUGCCGUGACUCGAGUCCGGUAGGGGAGUGUGGAAUUCCCGGUGUGAGCGGUGAAAUGACGCAGAGAUCGGGAGGAACACCCGUAGCGAAGGCGGCACUCUGGGCCGGUACUGACGCUGAGGAGCGAAAGCGUGGGGAGCAAACAGGG